CCUACGGGAGGCAGCAGUGGGGAAUUUUGGACAAUGGGCGCAAGCCUGAUCCAGCAAUGCCGCGUGCAGGAUGAAGGCCUUCGGGUUGUAAACUGCUUUUGUACGGAACGAAACGGUGAGCUCUAAUACAGUUUGCUAAUGACGGUACCGUAAGAAUAAGCACCGGCUAACUACGUGCCAGCAGCCGCGGUAAUACGUAGGGUGCGAGCGUUAAUCGGGAUUACUGGGCGUAAAGCGUGCGCAGGCGGUGAUGUAAGGCAGAUGUGAAAUGCCCGGGCUCAACCUGGGACCUGCAUUUGUGACUGCAUCGCUAGAGUACGGUAGAGGGGGAUGGAAUUCCGCGUGUAGCAGUGAAAUGCGUAGAUAUGCGGAGGAACACCGAUGGCGAAGGCAAUCCCCUGGACCUGUACUGACGCUCAUGCACGAAAGCGUGGGGAGCAAACAGGAUUAGAUACCCUGGUAGUCCACGCCCUAAACGAUGUCAACUGGUUGUUGGGUCUUCACUGACUCAGUAACGAAGCUAACGCGUGAAGUUGACCGCCUGGGGAGUACGGCCGCAGGUUGAAACGUCAAAUGAAUUGACGGCUUGGAGACGNGCGACGGACGACGACGACGGGAGGUAGG
rnacentral:rRNA from 1 species